GACGAACGCUGGCGGCGUGCUUAACACAUGCCAGUCGAACGGAAAGGCCCUGCUUUUGUGGGGUGCUCGAGUGGCGAACGGGUGAGUAACACGUGAGUAACCUGCCCUUGACUUUGGGAUAACUUCAGGAAACUGGGGCUAAUACCGGAUAGGAGCUCCUGCUGCAUGGUGGGGGUUGGAAAGUUUCGGCGGUUGGGGAUGGACUCGCGGCUUAUCAGCUUGUUGGUGGGGUAGUGGCUUACCAAGGCUUUGACGGGUAGCCGGCCUGAGAGGGUGGCCGGCGACAUUGGGACUGAGAGACGGCCCAGACUGGUACGGGAGGCAGCGGUGGGGAAUAUUGCAGAAUGGGCGGAAGCCUGAUGCAGCAACGCCGCGUGCGGGAUGACGGCCUUCGGGGUGUAAACCGCUUUCGCCUGUGACGAAGCGUGAGUGACGGUAAUGGGUAAGGAAGCACCGGCUAACUACGUG
rnacentral:rRNA from 1 species